CAGGGAGACACAACUGAUUUUGAUGUCUGAAUUAUUUAUUUUUAGACCAGAAUCCUGUCACCUUAGGUCGAUCGGUACCUCAAUUUAAUUAUUUAAGAAAUUAUUUUCUGAAUUGAUUAGAUUCAGUUCCUAAACUUUGUCUAGGUCACACCCAGCAAUGGUACUCCUGGGCCAUUAGCUCAGGUGGUUAGAGCGCACCCCUGAUAAGGGUGAGGUCCCUGGUUCAAGUCCAGGAUGGCCCAUUCGGUGUUGGGGGUAUAGCUCAGUUGGUAGAGCGCCUGCUUUGCAAGCAGGAUGUCAGCGGUUCGAGUCCGCUUACCUCCACUGAUCAACCUCCUAAUAACCAAGCUUAAGGAGUUUCGUUGAUGUGAUCUAGAAUUACUUCUCAAUUAAUGAACCUAGCUUCUUGUCAUUCCCUUCUAAGGAAUUUUAUUCCUGGAUUGAUAGGACGCUGGGCUCCCUGCAAUAUAAAUUGCAGAGAAGUUCAGUAGAACCUUGACAACUGCAUAGGUAAGUCUGGAAAAAAUAAAGCAUCUCAUGGAUGCAUUAUUUUUAAAGCUAAACCUAGAAUUCUGAUUUAAUUAGAAUUUCUAAGUUGGUUUUAAAUAUAUAAUGUUUAAUUCUUGAGCAAGAGCCGAGACUCUGCACGUUCUUUUGAUGUAUUUACUACAUUAAGAGUUUGAUUUUUAAUUCUAUUUUGAUUAAUAAAAUUAAGAAAAAAGCAUUAACAAUGCAGACGAUGCAGAGGUUUAAU
rnacentral:tRNA from 1 species